rnacentral:rRNA from 1 species
ACGCUCGACACCUACGGGAGGCAGCAGUGGGGAAUAUUGCACAAUGGGGGAAACCCUGAUGCAGCGACGCCGCGUGAGCGAAGAAGUAUUUCGGUAUGUAAAGCUCUAUCAGCAGGGAAGAAACUGACGGUACCUGACUAAGAAGCACCGGCUAAAUACGUGGCGGCAGCCGCGGUAAUCUGAGCGGGCUGGCAAGGC